GCUGGGCGUGGUGGCUCACGCCUGUAAUCCCAGCACUUUGGGAGGCUGAGGCUGGUGGAUCACUUGAGGCCAGGAGUUCGAGACCAGCCUGGCCAACAUGGUGAAAUCCUGUCUCUA
rfam:Homo sapiens chromosome X, GRCh38 reference primary assembly.